rnacentral:rRNA from 1 species
GGGGAAGGCUCGUCCUCCCAGGGUAAGUCGGGACCUAAGCCGAGGCCGAGAGGCGUAGGCGAUGGAUAACAGGUUGAGAUUCCUGUACCAGUUAACUGCGUUUGACGAUGGAGGAACGCAGGAGGCUAAGCAAACCGUACGACUGGAAGAGUACGGCCAAGCAGUAAGUCAGGAUGUGAGUCAAAUGUUUACAUCCGUGUUGACAAGCUGUGAUGGGGAGCGAAAUUAA